rnacentral:rRNA from 1 species
UUUACUUAGAGUUUGAUCCUAGCUCAGGGUGAAUGCUGGCGGUAUGGAUAAGGCAUGCAAGUCGAGUGGGUUUAGACCCACGGCAGACGAGGUAGUAACAGGUAGGUACGUCCCCAGAAGUCGGGCAUAACCGGUCGAAAGAUCGGAUAAUUCCCGAUAUUGCCGAGCACCAUUUAGCGACAUGGAAAUUUCGUGUCACGAAAUGGUGCUCGGUGAAAGAUUUAUCGCUUCUGGAGCGGCCUGCUUUGUAUCAGCUAGUUGGUGAGGUAAUGGCUCACCAAGGCUAUGACGCGUAGGGGAGCUGAGAGGCUGACCCCCACCGAUGAGACUGAGACACGGCUCAUACCCCUACGGGGGGCCGCAGCCGAGAAUAUUCGACAAUGGGCGAAAGCCUGAUCGAGCGAUACCGCGUGGUGGAUGAAGCGCUUCGGCGCGUAAACAUCUUUUAUGAGGGAGGAAGUUAUUGACGUUACCUCAUGAAUAAGGGGCUCCUAACUCUGUGCCAGCAGGAGCGGUAAUACAGAGGCCCCAAGCGUUACCCGGAAUUACUGGGCGUAAAGAGUGCGUAGGUGGUCGUGUUAGUCGUUUGUUAAAUCCCCCGGCUCAACCGGGGAGAUGCGGGCGAAACGGCACGACUCGAGGGCGUGAGAGGUACAUGGAACUCAUGG